GGUGGUUGGACUGAGUCCCAUGAAGCCAGAUCACUUCUGACUGCAAGGAGCUUGGAAAAGCAAGUAUCUGGAUCUUUUACCAGCUAAAUUUGGAGCGAUGAGGCUUCCUCUUUGAAGAUCACAGGUGAGAAGAUUAGGUGCUUUCUCAGAAGCCCAGCAACCUGAUGGGAGUGUGGAGUGAGCAAGACCCAAAUCGGAGCUUCAUCCCUGCAUGGUUCAUUUUGCUUAUUUGGCAAACUUGCCCUGCAGAAUCUACUCAAGCUUCCUCAGUUUCUCAAAUCAUUCUUGGGCAACAAAUGAACAAGAAAGAGGACGUCUUAUUAUCUGGUGUCUGGCUUGCUGAUUUAAUAACCUAGGAGACAGUGUUUGAAGAACACAAACUCUAAAGUCCUUCACUUAAAAAAAAAAAAAAACUUUCCCAAAUUGCUUACCAUUUGGAAAAAUUGCCUUACCUUCUUCAGUCAUCUCUGAUGUUGUCAUCCUCAGAGUAAGAAGUACGCAUUCAUAAGGAACCAUAACGUCCUUCAGGAAAUCCAGUACACCCUACAAUUUUACCUAAAACUUUGAUGUUGUUUUUUCUGAGCAUUUUACCUUCUAGGGAAAUGGAUCUCAUGCUGUUUAUCAGUUUCUGAAAGUUGUUAUUAAUCUCCCCUCAUCCCAAAAUUGAAGAACUUUGCUUAAAUCUUAGAAUCAGAACUUUGGCUCCAGUAAUAAAGACUUUUCAAUAUCUUUAUCUGCCAUUGAGUCUUACCUAACGAAAUAAAGCCUCCAAAGUGGGAAUUUGAAAUGUUU
rnacentral:lncRNA from 1 species